CCCUUCCGCCGUUACUAUAUAAUUCAAUGUAAAUUUCUAAUGACGGAAAUCCGCCGUUAGAAAUACCCGCUCCGCCAUAAGCUAUCCACUCCGCCGUAAUACUUGUCCGGCCGAAAGAUUCCGCCGUUAUAAUGUAACUCAAAUGAACUGACGGAAAUCCGCCGUUAAAAAAACCCGCCCCGGCGUUAAAAAAUUCCUGCCCCGCCGUCAACUAUCCACUCCGCCGUUAUAACUGUCCAAACGCUACUCAGUCAUUAACUCGACUAACUCAACCUAUUGAUCAACCGUCUAAAUUUUCCGAUAUUAGAGCUACCGUCGCUACAUCGAAAUUACAACGCCGAAUCGCUCGUAUGAUUUAUGCUACUCUGACGGAAAUCAGUUCUAUUCUGUUCUAGUAUGUAUACUGACGGGUUUUUACACCGCAAAACAGUUCGGCCGAAUUGUUACUAAAAAUAGUCAUUUUCCGCUGAAAUGAAGAGGUUUGAACUGAAUUGAUCAGAAACCCGCCGUAAGCUUCAUUAAUAUUCAUAUCCAAAGAGCGGGAUUUGUGAAAUGUUUUCAUUGGUCGAUGCAAAUAUAACUCCCCCUCUUCCAGCAAUCGUAACAACUCGGCAAUCUCCGUCAAGUUCGGAGAUCUUGAAGUCGCCCGAGGUGUUCCGAGUGCAGUACAACAACAACAACCACAAACACAAGAACCAUUACGAAAUUUUGGAAAUAUAGAUUGUAUGUUAGAUUUAUUUGACAAGACUAUAUUUGUCAGAUCUCAAUAAGUGAAUAAGAUUUGUUUGUUCAUCCUGUCAGAAAUUUCUUUUUAAAGACCAACAAUGGGGCCAGGAAUCAUAUUUGUUUGGAAGCAUAAGCAAAUGUCAUGAGUCUUAAAACUUCUAGAAUUUAGAGGAGUUUUUGCUGACAGUCAUAGAGUGUGCACAACUUUGAGAGAUUGGGGAAGUGUUUCUGCUUUUUCAUGUUUUGGUAGUUUUGUGGAAAAUAUCACAUACUGGUCACGUUAUAAUCUACAAGAACACAAGAGACAUAGACAGUUUCAGAGUUUUUACUUUGAAAUCAUAGAGCUGCAUAUGAUAGAAGAGAUAUUGGCUAUAAUUAUGUAUGUUUUAAAAAAUUGGAAAAAGAGUGAUUCUAAAAUUACAUGAAAAAUGCAGACUUUGCUUGAGUCUAUCUAAGGAAAAGUGCAACAUCCCCUACACCGCCUAACACGGGCUAUAGUGGAACUCAGUUCAAAUCAAUGAUCCUGAAGGUCCAGAAAAAUAUAACAAUAUUGAAGUGAAGUUUGCGGCAACAUUUUACAGCUUGGAAUGUGACACCUGCUAUUUUGAAGUAUAAAACUGGAAAAGGACACUAUCUCUCCGGAGCACUGACAACAACUUUCAGCUUGACAAAGUUUAAGUUGAUUUAAUAACUUGUGAAAAAUGUGACUGUCAGCCUUUAACUGACUGUAUUAAAUCUGAAGUAUUAACUGCUACAUGCCCAAGCCUAUCUAGCAAAGAAUACAUGCACUUUUACCAGUUUGGAUAAAGCCAUUUUCAUGUAAAACAUUGUUGGAUUUGUAUUUAAGUUUAUUCUACCAUACUUUUAAAGUCAUUCUUAUUAUUGCUGACCAGUUAAGUUGCCUACCAGGAAGGGCAUUCAAUGUUACACACUAUAUUAGAACCAAAGUUCAGAUACUGGUAAUUUAAUAUAUUAAUAUAUAACCAAAUUGCAACAGACAUAUUGAAUAAAGAAAAGUGACAACUGUUUCUUUAACCGCAUCAAAUCAAAGAAAAACAUUUUAAAACUUGUCUUCAAAUAUAGUAAGCAUGUUUAUAUCAAUGAUUCUUGGGUGAAAAUGGGGUAUCUUUGGUAAAAGCUAGAUAACCAGAUUCAAUCAAGGAAAAACCUUCUUUAUAUAUUUAUUUGAUCUUCUUUAAACUUUGUUAGAUUUUUGUAUUUAUGAUAUAUUGGUUAGGUAUAAAUAUUGCUUAUAGCUAAAUGUAAAGAAAGCUAUACAGGGAUUUUUUCCAGGAAUUUGGGAACAUGACCAAUACCCAUGGAAUUAGGAAUUCCAGCGGUGUUUUGUUAAAAAAUUGAGAAAAAAUGCAUGACUGAAAUUUUACAGUGAUUAAAUGGAUACAAACAUUUACUGUCUAAGAUGGCAUCUUCAAAUAUUUAAGGAUUAUUACAGUGGAGAAGCCCUUAUUUUUUUUUUAAAAGAUUUUAGAAUUUCUAUUCAAUUUUUUUAUUUUGUAACUUUCAAUUGGGAAUUUUUUCCUGUGGAUUGGGAAAAUAAUAUACUAUUUUCAAUUGGGAAUAUGACCCAAUAACGGCUAUAAAAUAAGCCAAAAAAUCCCUGGUGACAGUUUUCUUUAAAAUUUAAAACUGUUUUUGAAUUUGUGUCUUAUUUAUAUUUUGGCAAAUUUAGAUUUUGGUAACAUUUGGGAAAAAUUAGGUCACAAUGUCAAAUCUAUGAAAACAAUGCAUUCUUUCUGGGAUCACUGUUUUGUUUGGAUUUUGUCAAAUUUUUAAGAAGAAAUACAUUUUUAAAUAAAUAAACAAUUAAACUUGAAUUUUGGUUAAAUUGUCAUAAUUAUCUUUUUCUUGUGUGGAUUUGAUUUAAACUUGGACUAAGCAAGCUUAGCUUUCAAAAAACAUUGAGUAAUUUAGAAGUGACCUUGACCUUUUAUUGACAAUCAAGAUCCGAUUUAUGAAGUUCUUUUUUUCCCUGUAACUGGCUAUAAUUCUGUGAUUUAUAUUCAUAUUUAGACAUAACAUCUUUUAGGUCAGGACCUUCAUCUAUACCAAACCCAUAAUAAACUUUUAGUAGUGGCAUGGCCGAGUGGUUAACGCAUUGGACUAGUAAUCUAAUUAUCGCUAGCUGAAUGGGUUCACACCCUGACAGGGGCAAGUCUUUGUUUCCUUGAGCAAGAAACUUUACACUCACUGCUCAGUACUGGAUAGUUCCAGGAAUGGAUUCGAAAGUGUAUUUGUAAGCUAAUAGCUUCCUACACAAUCGAACUAAAAUAAAUUCUGUAUAAACCAAAACUUGAAGGUCAAAUUAUUGAAUUUCACUGUGUAUUUCUAUGAUUUACUGUACAUGGCAAUCAAUGCAUUAUCUGCAUACUUUGACAAAACAACCUUUUGGACAAGACCUUCAAAAAGGUUGAACUGAACUUAACCUAUAAUUGACCUUCACCGUCAAGGUCAAAUAAUUGAAUUUGUAUAAUAUUUUCUUAACUGUCAUUUAUUUAUGGAAAAGAAUUUCGGGCAUAUUAUGUUAUAUCCCCUGGCGUCCGUCCGUCUGUCCGUUAGCAAUUUGGUUUCCGGAGCAUAACUUAAGUUCCAUUUGGCCCACAAUAUUCAAACUUCAUAGGAUGAUUGUCCAUAUUGGGUAGAAGACCCCUAGUAAUUUUUAGGGUCACAAGGUCAAAGGUCAUGGUCUUUAUUACUUUAAAACUGAAAACAAUUAUUAGGGCAUAACUUAAGUUCCAUUUGGACCACAAUAUUCAAACUUCAUAGGAGGAUUGUUAUUUGAUUAUUUAAUUAAUUAUUUUAUUCCAAUGUCUAACAAUGCUUUCAUCUUUACUAAAUAAAAAUCAUUUUCGGGCAUAUAAUGCUCCGCCUAGCGGUGAUCUUGUUUUUAAUUUUCUAGUUAGAGGUUUGUUUAAACAGUUUGUUUGCUUUUAGAAAAGUAAAGAAAAAAGCUUAGCAUUGCAACCACCUGGCAAUGGCUCAUGUUAAAGUUUGAUACACUGUUUAUUUGCAUUUUCUUUUUUACAUUUUUUAACUGUUUGUUUAAAACUGUUUAUUUGUUUGAAUUUAGAAAAAGUUAGAGUGUUGCCUCACAUUGCACUGGCUUCUGUUUUGCAUAUUAUUAAAUUUUAAUUGUUAUUUGAAAAUUAAAAAUAUUUUUAGCGAUGCAACAUUAUAUUUCUUUGUGAUCAAUAAUUCUCUGUGAUAAAUACAUAUUUAUGCAAGCUAAA